AGUGAAAACUGCAAACGUUCACUAAAGGGACAUUUUUGAGAAAGAAGAGCACACAACUGCUCAAGGUUGAUUAGUUACUUUUACUUUGAUGGGGUUAUGUUGGUUUUGCAAAAAUCGUUCAACUUCCUGCUUCUUCAAGGACCUUCCUUUACCCAUUUUGGUGAUCUCUUUAAUCGUUAUACAUUAAGAACGGUGGGAACACCAACUCAUGUGGAUAUAGCUAGUGACAAGCAUUUGGUCAAAGCUAGUCACCGGAUUAACUCGCCUGCCUCCCUGUACCUUUUGUUAUAACCAAAAGUUCUUCCAAAUGUGCCUAUUUUUUGGUUUGUGUCAUCACUAGAUCCAUAUGCUUUUCUAGCUGCCAUACAAGCCGGAGAUCUAAUGGUGUCUCCUCAACUUUCACUUAGCUCUUUGACAUUUCCACGCCGUGCACACCGGCCCGCCAACGGCCUGGAGUUGGAGGCGAUUAGUUUUCCACUACACACAACGGGAUGGAAAGGUAAAGUGCGGGUGUCUGAGUGAAAUGAUAUGAAGAUAAGGGAGGUGACCAAGUGUCUUAAGAAGAUUGAGAUGUGAAAAGACCAUCCUAUCCCUCACACCAAUUAAGCCACACUUCAAUGAAGAAGAAAAAGUACAAAUAUAUAGAAUUGUCUAUUUAAAGAAGCUAAAGUUUUCGUAUAACGAUGAUGAGCGUUUGUGCAUUUGCUAUAGAUGUAGUCGCUGAGAUUGAAUAUCUGCUUAAAACUAUUGCCAUGAA